UACGGAGGGGGCUAGCGUUGUUCGGAAUUACUGGGCGUAAAGCGCACGUAGGCGGCUUUGUAAGUUAGAGGUGAAAGCCCGGAGCUCAACUCCGGGAUUGCCUUUAAGACUGCAUCGCUAGAAUUGUGGAGAGGUAAGUGGAAUUCCGAGUGUAGAGGUGAAAUUCGUAGAUAUUCGGAAGAACACCAGUGGCGAAGGCGACUUACUGGACACAUAUUGACGCUGAGGUGCGAAAGCGUGGGGAGCAAACAGG
rnacentral:rRNA from 1 species